GAUGAACGCUGGCGGCGUGCCUAAUACAUGCAAGUCGAGCGAACAGAUGAGGAGCUUGCUCCUCUGACGUUAGCGGCGGACGGGUUAGUAACACGUGGAUAACCUACCUAUAAGACUGGGAUAACUUCGGGAAACCGGAGCUAAUACCGGAUAAUAUAUUGAACCGCAUGGUUCAAUAGUGAAAGACGGUUUUGCUGUCACUUAUAGAUGGAUCCGCGCCGCAUUAGCUAGUUGGUAAGGUAACGGCUUACCAAGGCAACGAUGCGUAGCCGACCUGAGAGGGUGAUCGGCCACACUGGAACUGAGACACGGUCCAGACUCCUACGGGAGGCAGCAGUAGGGAAUCUUCCGCAAUGGGCGAAAGCCUGACGGAGCAACGCCGCGUGAGUGAUGAAGGUCUUCGGAUCGUAAAACUCUGUUAUUAGGGACGAAAAAAUGUGUAAGUAACUAUGCACGUCUUGACGGUACCUAAACAGAAAGCCACGGCUAACUACGUG
rnacentral:rRNA from 1 species